rnacentral:tRNA from 1 species
GUACCUGUGGUGUAGUGGUUAUCACAUCCGCCUAACACGCGGAAGGUCCCAGGUUCGAUCCUGGCAGGUACA